rnacentral:rRNA from 1 species
UUGACGGGACCCGCACAGCGGUGGAUGAUGUGGUUUAAUUCGAUGCAACGCGAAAACCUUACCCACCUUUGACAUGGCAGGAAUCCUGAAGAGAUUUGGGAGUGCUCGAAAGAGAACCUGCACACAGGUGCUGCAUGGCUGUCGUCAGCUCGUGUCGUGAGAUGUUGGGUUAAGUCCCGCAACGAGCGCAACCCUUGCCAUUAGUUGCUACGAAAGGGCACUCUAAUGGGACUGCCGGUGACAAACCGGAGGAAAGGUGGGGAUGACGUCAAGUCCUCAUGGCCCUUAUAGGUGGGGCUACACACGUCAUACAAUGGCCGGUACAGAGGGUAGCCAACCCGCGAGGGGGAGCCAAUCCCACAAAGCCGGUCGUAGUCCGGAUCGCAGUCUGCAACUCGACUGCGUGAAGUCGGAAUCGCUAGUAAUCGCGGAUCAGCAUGUCGCGGUGAAUACGUUCCCGGGUCUU